UUUAAAGGGAGCGUAGAUGGAUGUUUAAGUCGGUUGUGAAAGUUUGCGGCUCAACCGUAAAAUUGCAGUUGAUACUGGAUAUCUUGAGUGUAGUUGAGGCAGGCGGAAUUCGUGGUGUAGCGGUGAAAUGCUUAGAUAUCACGAAGAACUCCGAUUGCGAAGGCAGCCUGCUAAGCUGCAACUGACAUUGAGGCUCGAAAGUGUGGGUAUCAAACAGGAUUAGAUACCCUGGUAGUCCACACGGUAAACGAUGAAUACUCGCUGUUUGCGAUAUACUGCAAGCGGCCAAGCGAAAGCGUUAAGUAUUCCACCUGGGGAGUACGCCGGCAACGGUGAAACUCAAAGGAAUUGACGGGGGCCCGCACAAGCGGAGGAACAUGUGGUUUAAUUCGAUGAUACGCGAGGAACCUUACCCGGGCUUAAAUUGCAGAUGAAUUACGGUGAAAGCCGUAAGCCGCAAGGCAUCUGUGAAGGUGCUGCAUGGUUGUCGUCAGCUCGUGCCGUGAGGUGUCGGCUUAAGUGCCAUAACGAGCGCAACCCUUGUUGUCAGUUACUAACAGGUUCCGCUGAGGACUCUGACAAGACUGCCAUCGUAAGAUGUGAGGAAGGUGGGGAUGACGUCAAAUCAGCACGGCCCUUACGUCCGGGGCUACACACGUGUUACAAUGGGGGGUACAGAGGCCGCUACCGCGCGAGUGGAUGCCAAUCCCCAAAACCUCUCUCAGUUCGGACUGGAGUCUGCAACCCGACUCCACGAAGCUGGAUUCGCUAGUAA
rnacentral:rRNA from 1 species